UUUUAAGAAAGCUGAAAAAGGUGGUGUAAAGGUGGUGUAAAAGACUAAAAGGGUAGUGUUAAUGUAUUGUGGUUACUUUUACUAAUCUUGCACUAACUAUUUGGCAUUAUUUUAUUAGGUGAAAAUUCAGAAAAUAAAUAUAUAAAUAAAAUGGAAAAUAAAUAAACUGGAAAUAAAUAAAUAAAUAAGUAAAUAAACUGGAAAUAAAUAAACUGGAAAAUAAAUAAACUGAAAAUUCAAAAAUAAAUAAAUAAAUAAACUUGAAAUUCAGAAAAUAAAUAAAUAAAUAAACUGAAAAUUCAGAAAAUAAAUAUAUAAAAAAAUGGAAAAUAAAUAAACUGAAAAUUCAGAAAAUAAAUAAAUAAACUGAGAAAUAAAUAAAUAAAUAAAUAAACUGGAAAUAAAUAAACUAAAAAUUCGAAAAUAAAUAAAUAAAUAAACUGAAAAUUGAGAAAAUAAAUAAAUAAACUGGAAAUAAAUAAAUAAAUAAGUAAAUAAACUGGAAAAUAAAUAAACUGAAAAUUCAA
rnacentral:lncRNA from 1 species